GAUGAACGCUGGCGGCGUGCCUAAUACAUGCAAGUCGAGCGAACAGACGAGGAGCUUGCUCCUCUGACGUUAGCGGCGGACGGGUGAGUAACACGUGGAUAACCUACCUAUAAGACUGGGAUAACUUCGGGAAACCGGAUCUAAUACCGGAUAAUAUAUUGAACCGCAUGGUUCAAUAGUGAAAGACGGUUUUGCUGUCACUUAUAGAUGGAUCCGCGCCGCAUUAGCUAGUUGGUAAGGUAACGGCUUACCAAGGCAACGAUGCGUAGCCGACCUGAGAGGGUGAUCGGCCACACUGGAACUGAGACACGGUCCAGACUCCUACGGGAGGCAGCAGUAGGGAAUCUUCCGCAAUGGGCGAAAGCCUGACGGAGCAACGCCGCGUGAGUGAUGAAGGUCUUCGGAUCGUAAAACUCUGUUAUUAGGGAAGAACAAAUGUGUAAGUAACUAUGCACGUCUUGACGGUACCUAAUCAAAAAGCCACGGCUAACUACGUG
rnacentral:rRNA from 1 species